UUGUAAAAUGAAUAAAUAAAGAAUACAAAAAGAGUUGGGUUUGAGAAUUUUGAUAAGCCCUCAUUGUUUUAAUGAAAGUGGGGCACUUGAGAGGUGUCUGCCAUUUUUAGCUUUAAGCAAUCUAGUUUUGCAUUCUAUUCAUUAGAACACUUUAGUUGCACUAUUGUGGGUUCACAGUUUAUAAACACUGUGAUUGGAUUCUAUGACACCUUAGAAUCUUCAAGAGACUUCUGUUAGAGAUAAGAACUUUAGUGUGGGAAAACCUUGCUAAGAAAAGUUGAAGUACACUAUGACUGGAUAGCCUGGGGGCUCAGCACAAAAGCAAAAGGGGAGACUCCCUUCAUUAGCUGUUUUCUCACUGCCUGCCUUUGUCUGGAAAAUGAAAAACCCCUACCUAAGGAUGUCGCCAAGCCUUAGCUUGAGUACAGAAUCAAUUCUGAGUUUCCAGAUAAAACCUGUUUAACCAGUACCUGAGAUUCUUGAAAUGCCUUAAGUCACACUGAGUAGGGUUGAUCUGCCUACUGACAGCUGGUCCUGGUGAGGUCUUUCACCAUACUUCUUCACAGAGCAUCUCAAGCCCCUCAUCCCACCCUUACCUCACCCAACCCCUUGCUCCCACUGCUCUCAUGGAUUAAUUGGCUGAGGAUCCAUAAGAGACCCACAUUCCAAAUGUAAUCGCACAUUCUUAUAUUCAUAAUAUGUACUUUUGAGGAAGAAAGAUAUAAGGUAAUGGUCCAGUUAAAAUUGCAUAUAAAUAUUAAUUUUCAAAAGAAUCGAAAGCAGGUAAUACAGUUCAAUGACGGGAUCUUUUCUCCUUGACCUAAUCUCUGCGUUUGGUACAACUAUAAUAAAAAAAGAUAAUUAAUUAAAAGUAGAUGAGAAUGUUAUAUGCUACUCUUUUAAUAUUAUGGACAUAUCUUUUCCAGGGCAUUUUUUAAUGUGUUUUCUUUGUGACUAGCCAAAUUUGUAUUUAUUACUAUAAUUGAAAGCAAGGCCUCACAUUUUCUAAGUAAGAACACUCAGCAGCUAUAAAAAUCUCCUCAAAAUGAAUAUUAGCUUCCAUGCAUAAAACUAAUGGGAAUACUUGUGUCUCUUUUACUUCAUGUAUUUGUGUUUAUAUAUACAAGUGAUAGCUUGCUUGGUUAGGGAUAGAAGAGUGAUAUAAAUACAGUGGUAAUUAAAAUCACUUUAAGUUGAAAUAGUCUAUGGUUUAUCUUAGAAACAGGCCCAAUAAAUGCUAAAGGGACUAAUUAGCACAAAUAUUUGAAGAUGAAUGAUUGUGUCUGUGGUCAGUGAAGUCCAGUGAAGAAAAGAGUGGUUGAUUAACAGUUUGAUUGUUUUCUUGCUGGCUAGUCUGUUGAGAAAUAUCUUUUUCACAGGAAAAACUCUGCUUUCAGACUUGUUUGGUGUUAUAGUUUCAUUAGAAAGGAGUUGUUCCCAAUUUGUUCUUUCCUGCCCAGGUGUGACCUUUGCUGAUACAGUUUGGAAACCUAAUUCCAGUACAGAGAAAGAUGAGUCAAGGGUCAAUCAUGAGAAGCAUGGUAAUGUUCCCUGUACAGCUGCUACAAUUCAUGUCAAGGAGAUAGAGUAAAGGUCAGGGCAUAAGGUGGGCUCAGGAGUGUUAAUAGAAAGGCUACGCUUAGCCAUCUAGAUUCCCACUGUUUUUUAGUGCAGGUCAUAUUUUAGCAGGCAAAUAUAGAGAAUUUAUAAAUUGUCAAUAACGCAUAUGAUUCUUCAUGUUAUACAUUUGAUAUAUUUUAUAUAUUUUACUACAUCUAUUUUUACCUCAAAUAUAUUUUACUUCACCCAUUUUUGAGAACAGAGGGUGGCAGUUUUGUCACUUUGAUAAUAUUGUUUUCUUAGUUUAUAACUAUUAUAUAUAUAAUUAAAAUUGAACAUAUGUAUAUAUAUGUAUUUAGAUACUUAUGUAUAAUAUAUAUGGUUGUCUUAAUGUAUUUAAUGUUGAAUGGGUAAAAAAUUAUUGUUUCAAAAUAAAGUCUAGGAAAAUUUCUUAAAAGUGUAAUAUAGGUUUGUAGUAAUAGUGAAUACUGUUAUGCUGGAUAAAACUGAAUAAAACUGCAGAUGUAUAACAAUAAGAAUGAAAAGUGUUGCACAAAAUAAGAGCAAAAAUAGUUAAUAACCUUAUAAGCAUUGUAAUGUAGCUUACUUCUUCUGUGUGUGUGCAGUCAUGUGCACUGCUCAUUGAACCACACUAUGCAUGAAGAGGUUAGAAGAAAUCUAACUUGUUAGUGCUCACAUCCUAUGGGUAUAGUCAGGAUUCUUUGUCACUGUUCAUUCUGUCAAUGAAAUUGUCCUAUGGACUUCGACGACACCUCUGUCUCUACAUUGCGCCUUUAGGAGAAGGAUUGGGAGAUAGAAGUAUUAAUUUCACUUCUGAUGUCACGUGAGCAUGAGUAAUUUAAUCUCAUGUCCCAAUAUUCAGGCCCGAUGCUUUGUUAGCUGUCAAUUUAACAACUCCCUAGCCUCAACUGUUGUCAUUUCCAGGAAUCGCUUGCUUCCCAGUACACCAAGUUACAUGGUAUAGUUUGAUAAUCAGAAGAGUUGAUCAAUUAUAAUGUCCAUUUAAAAUGGAGCAAAAUACAUUUUUGUCAUUUAAUAAUAGCUAUUUGGAGAUACAAUUAUUUUCUAACUUGGAUGUAUAUUAAACUGAAAUUUUUAAAAAAGAAACUUUGCAUUAGUGAUAUGGGUCAAAUUAUUCUAUUUCAUAGUUUGUUCAAAUUUUCUUUAAAAUUAAUAUAAAAAUGAUUUACUAUUUUGAAAGAGGCUGAAGACCGAACCUAGGCCAUGCAGGAUGCUCCACUGUGCUAACCGGGAGGCUUUAAAUAUGGCAUAUUUAAACAGUAAUUUGUGUUUCGUUCAAAAAUGUUCUGAUUGUAAAGUUAUUUAAAGUUCGUUGAGCAUUGUAAAUUAUACUUUUUCCAUAAAUAUUUUGAAAUAUUUGUUUUUAAGCUAUUAAGACAAAAUAAACUAUGGUAGACUUUCAUGUUUUUAAUUUGCAUAAUAUACCAUUGUAUCUUUCUCUAGUUUUAAUUAAUAUAAUUCUGCUUUCAAGCAAAUAAAUGCUUUCCUGUCAAUUUGCCAUUUUACCAGCACUGUAUAAAUUAACCUUAUUUUUAAGCCUUAUUUUUUAUUAUGGCAGCUUGCUAUUUUUGUAACAUGGUGAUUUGGUUGAACACAAUAAAGUACAGUAGUAACUGAAAAGAAAAAGAAAAAAAAAAGAUAUAAAGACAACAGUCCAGGUAGUCUCAUAUACAUAGAUGUUUUUCACAAACGUCAGAAAUCCACAAAGUAUGAGAUUUAAAGUUAUUUAUCUUUUUUUGAGACAUAUCUGCUCCUAACUGUUCCCCUUUGGUGGAUUUAACGAAGAAUGUGAACAUCUCUACCUUCAGGUGAGGAAAUAAUUUGUGGCUAGGCAGCCACUUGACAAAACUGCCUGUUUCAUCUGCAGACUAUACUGUCCAGAAAAGGACAAAUUAUGCAGAAUAUUUGACUGAUAAACUCUGCCAAGACAGGGUGAUUAGCCCUUCAAAAUCUCCAUUUCAAGAGUCUGUCAGUUGAUUUUGGGCCCGAAGACUGAAGACUUGCACUCACAUGUUCCUAACAGGCGACUGCACUAGUGGAGAUUUGUCUCUACAACCUCUCAGUUCUGGAAGCCAUGUUAGGCUUCCUAUGUGUAUAGAUAUUUGGUCGUUCUCAGAUUUCUGAUGGGGUUGAAGACUGAUUCUAGUUUCAUAGCCUAUCAGGCUGUUUAACUCUGAAAAUACAUAUUUUAUUGGAUAGUUAUCAGAUAGUGUACAAGCUAGCAAGAUAUAAUAUAGAUUUUAGGCCUUUCUUAAAUAAUGGAUAAUAAUGGAAUAGAUAACUAAAUAUUCUGUAUAACUGAUGUAGUGUUGGACUGGGUGUUAGAUAUAUUUUAUGCUUUUAAUUACAAAAUGAUAAUAGUUGUGCUCAGCUUAAAAAAAAAAAGAAAUGAUGGAAUUUUCCCGAUAUUUUUCAGCAUCUAAUGAUAUAAUCUUGUGACUUCUUUCAGUUUUUAUAUACUGAAUUAUAUCAAUGGAUUUCCACAUAUUGAAUCAUCCCUUCAUGUCUUGAAUGAAAUCUACUGGACUAAGAUGGAUGAUGUAUUGAUGUGUUUCUGCAUCCAGCUUGUGAUUAUUUUACUUUUUUUUAAAUAAAUGAUCCUAAGAGAAAAAAAAAAAAAAAGAACUGGGCAAGUCCAGGCAAGCACAGGCAAGUUAAUUACUAAUAGAGAAACCCCAGACUCCAGCCUUUACACUCUGAUAAUGGUUCCAGAAUACCUAGAGAUAGAGCAAGAGAAGGCCACCUACCGGGGAUUUCUUCACAACGGUUUCCAGCCUCUACACCCUGGCAAUGGCUCUGGAAUGCCUAGAGAUAGGAUAAAAUGAUGAGACCCCUAUCCAAGAUCUGUGAAUUCAUGCCUUAAGCUCAGCCCACAAUGUUUCUGUGCUCACGGUCUCCAUUUGCUUUGUUUUCCUUAUCUCUGGAUCAAGCUAUAGGAGAAAAGAAGGGGUCAGAGACUCAACACAGUGACGGAAAAGAAGAGGCUUCCUUGUUUUGAUCCUCUAUAUAACGUGGUGAGCAAAGCAGCACAGUUUUGUAAUUGAUUCUGGAAAGAUUGUGUUACUUUCUACAAGAAGACUGGAAUCGCAUUUAUGGCUUGGUAAUAAGAAACUCAGAAAGCUAUUUAUUCUAAUUUGAGAUAUCUGUUGCUGCUAUACAUGACAAAUGAAAUGGUACUUGUUUUUGUACUUGACUUACCUAAAUUAGUUUCAGUGAACAGUGGUUCUUUAGAGCAAGCCAUUUUCUAGAAGGCACGGUAUUGGGACGUUUCUUCUUUUUUUGAAAGAAAAUGAAUUUUUUCAUAUGAUAUAUUUUGAUCAUGGACUUUGUUCCAGCAUCUCUUCCUAGAUCUUCCCACUCCUUCACUGUUCCACACCUCCCUUUUCCUUUUCUCCAGAAAACAAUCAAAACAAACAAAACCAAAAAAAAAAAAAAGAAAAAGAAAAUAACAACAGCAAAACUUUUAAUUUUUAUAGACUUAAUCUUUGAGUUUGAUGUAAUCUCAUUUAUUGGUAUUUUAUUUUGUGGCCUAUUUGUGCUCCCAUUAAAAGAAUUUGCCAGUAUC